GAUGAACGCUGGCGGCGUGCUUAACACAUGCAAGUCGAACGAAGCACUUUAAUUGAUUUCUUCGGAAUGAAGUUUUUGUGACUGAGUGGCGGACGGGUGAGUAACGCGUGGGUAACCUGCCUCAUACAGGGGGAUAACAGUUGGAAACGACUGCUAAUACCGCAUAAGCGCACAGGAUUGCAUGAUCUAGUGUGAAAAACUCCGGUGGUAUGAGAUGGACCCGCGUCUGAUUAGCCAGUUGGCGGGGUAACGGCCCACCAAAGCGACGAUCAGUAGCCGACCUGAGAGGGUGACCGGCCACAUUGGGACUGAGACACGGCCCAAACUCCUACGGGAGGCAGCAGUGGGGAAUAUUGCACAAUGGGGGAAACCCGGAUGCAGCGACGCCGCGUGAGCGAAGAAGUAUUUCGGUAUGUAAAGCUCUAUCAGCAGGGAAGAAGAAUGACGGUACCUGACUAAGAAGCACUGGCUAACUACGUGCCAGCAGCCGCAGUAAUAC
rnacentral:rRNA from 1 species